GGUGUAUCGGUACAGCCAGCAGGGUGUACUGGUACAUUGCACAGGCUGCGCGCAGACUGCUCUCGGGUUGGCUUCUUGUAUCGGUACGCGAGCCCGUGUACCGGUACGCCAGGGUAGGUGAGAGGGCAAUUGAGUCUUUUCUCACAUCGUUCGUGUCACCACUCCACCCCUUUGCUAUUUACAGGUGUAGAGAGCUUGAGAAGGAGUAUUCUUCCUGCUUCUUCUUCUCCUCUCUCUCUCUAGCUAAAUCGAUCGUGGAGGAGCUCGGGUAGAGUGUUUCGUCGCCAACGCCGUGUCGCGGAGCCGUUCGGGCGCGCGUUUGUUGCUGUAACAUUGCGAGGGGGGCCGGGCAAGCAUGGAAUUUCGCCGUUCUCGACGUCGCGCCGGUGCUAGAGUCGCUGUUGAGAUUUCCAACGUCGACCAUCGGCGUUUCGACUCGUACGCGACGUAAGAGUGUCGGAUUGCGACGAAACUUGGUUCGUUGGAUUCAGAACUUCGAGAGUAAUCCAGAAGCCCAAGUUUGUAGGAUUUGGUGAAGAGCUUGGAGUUAGCUCGAAUACUGGACUGGGAGGAUUUCAGUUGAUCCAGCAGGUUGUUCCGCAGUUGAGGGAGUUCUUUGCUACCUGGGAUUAGCU